rnacentral:sRNA from 1 species
GUGAGUGUGCAUGCAUGUGGUAUUUUGUGAGUUGGUUCUCUCCUUCCAUCAUGGGACAUGUGACCUUGGGAUAGAAGAACUCAGGUCUUCAGGCUUUUGCUGCAAAUGCUUUUACCACUGAGCCAUCUUACCUCCCCAUUCUCACGCAUUUACAUCCACUGUGCUAGCAUAGUUUGUCUAAGAGACUACUGUCCUUUCCCAUGGAGUAUUGCUGUAUUCCUGCUGAAGUCGUUUGACAUGUACCCAUGGAUUUAUUUCUAGGCCUUGGUUCAUUUGCCUCUGUAUGGAUGAUUUUGUGGUUUUAUUUAUAGUGUUAUUCAAAGAACAGUGAUUAUAGUUUCUUAUAAAGUCUGGUUUAUGAAGACCAAGGUCACAGAUUAUUAUUUCUCUGUUCUCUUUUAGAAGUUUCAUGUUUUUACAUUUUGUUGUGUUAUAUGCUGAGUUUGUAUAUGGUGUAAGAUUUCAAUGAAGAGUUUUCUUAGGUAUUUUUGACAUAUACUAACAAGAUAAGCAUUGUUUGAUUAAAAGGAUUCUCGUAUCUCCUUUCAAUGGUUGAGAAUGUAUGAAAUGGUAGUGAUGCUGGUUUCUCCUUGAGAGCAUUGUGAUAGAGAAGAGCCAGCCUCUUUAUUUUAUUUUAUUUUAUUUUAUUUUAUUUUAUUUUAUUUUAUUUUGUAAAAGCUGUAGUUGUGCUUAAUAAUCUCACCCUUCCCAGUGGAGUCCAGCUGUCAGCACAGUGUUCUGUCCUGGAAACAUGUGCAUACUUAAUGUGCUGCUUCCUCAGACAGGUAGCUUGGUGGGCUUGGCUGGAUAUGACAGUUACCUGAUGGUGCUCACCAGUUUACGAAGUAAGCAUAGAUCAAAUAUCAUAUGCCUUAAAUGUUUGCACUUUUACAUGUCAUAUUACAAAAAGUUAGAAGGUAUUAUCUACUGUAAUGCCUACUGAAAAUAACUUCUGAAACAUAAUUCCAUAGUCACAGGUCUUAGGAAGCACUCCUCUGUCACCUCAGAGGGGCUGUUCCCAGGCUUUCCCUGCUGCUUCUCUUGGAAGAGGAUGGAAAGAGUAAGGAAGAAGGGCAGUGGGAGGGAGGAUGGUUCCCAUGGUGAUGUCCUACCCUGUCAGUCUGGAGCACUUCUGCCACAACCUGGGGUUCUAAAGUGUGUUUUCUGUGUGGAUAGAGUCUGAGAUUCUCCCAAAGAUCUCUCUUUCUCUGGCAGGAGCAGUUCAGCCCCUCUUUGCAUAUCUGUUGUGCCAAGUGUGGUAACCUCUGCUCAGCCCCUUUCUAACUUCAGACCCGGCCAGAGAUCUGAACAAUGACUGUUUACUGAAGGGAGGAGCUGGUACUUUACAACACCUGAUAGUUAUUCAUACAUUUGAAAAUUUCACAUCUGUUUUUAAAAGCCAGAAAUAAUAUGAAUCUAAAACCAUUGUAACUUUGUUUCUAACUAAAUCUGAAAUGUGUUCAGUUCACCGUGACACAUCAUACAUUUUUAGUUAAUAAAGUUUCUUACAUUUUAGUUUUUAAGGGAAAUAAUAUUUUAGUUGGAUAAUUAUUAGACUUAUGCUGUAUAUGUUGAAAGCAUAAAAGAAUUGAAUGUUUUGCUUUUUAACAAAUAAAAGCUUCUUUGAUAGUAUUAGGUAUGUUACAGCAACUAUAAAUCCUAUCAGAAUAGAUUAGUUUGACAAACCAUUUUAAGUCUUUUGAGGUUUACCAUAGGAUUUUGAUUUAAGCUGUAUCUGAAAACUGACACAUUCACAUGAAUCUAAAGGGAAGAAUUAUCCCUGUACUAACAUAUAUUAAAAGAAACAAUGAUUUUAGAAACAUACUUGUGAUAUUUGAUAAUGAAAAUUAAUUUGGAAUUUCAGAAAUACACAAUUAAAAGCAGAAAUUUUAUUAUUUGCUAUAUGUAUGUCUUGUAAACAUCUUCUCAAGAACAUUUAGAAUUCUUAAACUUUCUUUCCAUAGUUAUAGCGAUCACAGCACUGGUUAGAGGUCCAUAUGUCUCAUUUUGACUCCACAGUAAAUAUCACCACUCCACUGAAUAAAUAAUUUUAUGACUACUAGUUUGGUCUUGAGACGUUUGACAAAGAGAGAGUAAGGUAUCCUGAAAAAAGCAUAAAGCAAAACACAAGUUGAAGCAAGGUUCUCUUCUUAAAUAAUGCAGGUGGCUCCUCUCUAAAGCACACUACUGUUUAGACAGCCAUGUGAAUUACAAAAAGGGUAGUCAAAUCUUAGACAAUUUCUGUUACAAAUUUGGCUUAAACAUGCAACAUUUUGCAUUUUGACAGCAUGUAUAUAUGAAUGUUCAUUUAUGCAAAUAGCAUCCUUUCUCUGGCUUGAGAGCGCUAAGUCUGCGUUCACUAAUUAUGAACUUAGUAGAGGGCUGUGGAUUGAAUGCAUGUUCCGUAAAAUUGAAAUCCUAAGCCUAGUGUGAUGCCAUGUGAAUGCCGGGCUGUGGCUGGCAGCUGGGAUUAGGCAGUUCAUGACCACAACGGUGUCAUGGUUAAUCACCUCAUUAAUAAAAGAAAUGGAAGGGGAGCUCUGUGUGCACUGCUGCCAUAUACAUGUGGAAUGAUUAGACGCCCAUCUAGAAAUAGAGAACACAGACCUCAUCGGUCACUAUAUCUACUAACACUUUGAUCUUGGACAUCCUAGCCUUCAGAUCUGUGAAAAAUAUUUACAUUUAAGCAAAUUAGGUUUUAGAAUGUGCUGUAAGAGCCAAACUGACUUAAGACUUACACAAUAGGAUGGAUAAAGAAUAUAUUGAGAUGGUAGCCCCAGAUACAUACCAUUAUUUAAAUAUGAGACACAGCCCUUAGAGAAAAGUGCAGAAAA